rnacentral:rRNA from 1 species
AUUGAACGCUGGCGGCAUGCUUUACACAUGCAAGUCGAACGGCAGCGGGGAGGAGCUUGCUUCUCUGCCGGCGAGUGGCGAACGGGUGAGUAAUACAUCGGAACGUGUCGAGAAGAGGGGGAUAACCACCCGAAAGGGUGGCUAAUACCGCAUAAAUUCCGAGGAAGAAAGCUGGGGACCUAGGAAUAGGCCUAGCGCUUUUUGAGCGGCCGAUGUCGGAUUAGCUAGUUGGUGAGGUAAAGGCUCACCAAGGCGAAGAUCUGUAGCGGGUCUGAGAGGAUGAUCCGCCACACUGGGACUGAGACACGGCCCAGACUCCUACGGGAGGCAGCAGUGGGGAAUUUUGGACAAUGGGGGCAACCCUGAUCCAGCCAUGCCGCGUGUAUGAAGAAGGCCUUAGGGUUGUAAAGUACUUUUGUUAGGGAAGAAAAGUCAGCUGUGAAUAAUGGCUGAUACUGACGGUACCUAAAGAAUAAGCACCGGCUAACUACGUG